rnacentral:rRNA from 1 species
CCUACGGGAGGCAGCAGUGAGGAAUAUUGGUCAAUGGCCGAGAGGCUGAACCAGCCAAGUCGCGUGAGGGAAGAAUGUCCUAUGGAUUGUAAACCUCUUUUGUCAGGGAGCAAAGUCACCCACGUGUGGGUGUCGGAGAGUACCUGAAGAAAAAGCAUCGGCUAAAUCCGUGCCAGCAGCCGCGGUAAUACGGAGGAUGCGAGCGUUAUCCGGAUUUAUUGGGUUUAAAGGGUGCGUAGGCGGGUUAUCAAGUCAGCGGUAAAAUCGUGGAGCUCAACUCCAUCCAGCCGUUGAAACUGAUGAUCGUGAGUGGGCGAGAAGUAUGCGGAAUGCGUGGUGUAGCGGUGAAAUGCAUAGAUAUCACGCAGAACUCCGAUUGCGAAGGCAGCAUACCGGCGCCCGACUGACGCUGAAGCACGAAAGCGUGGGUAUCGAACAGGAUUAGAUACCCUUGUAGUC